rnacentral:rRNA from 1 species
ACCGGCGCACGGGUGAGUAACGCGUAUGCAACCUACCUUCAACUGGGGGAUAGCCCAGGGAAACUUGGAUUAAUACCCCAUAGUAUUUAUGAAUCGCAUGGUUUAUAAAUUAAAGUUCCGGCGGUUGAAGAUGGGCAUGCGUGCCAUUAGUUAGUUGGUGAGGUAACGGCUCACCAAGACAGCGAUGGCUACGGGGUCUAAAAGGAUGGUCCCGCACACUGGUACUGAGACACGGACCAGACUCCUACGGGAGGCAGCAGUGAGGAAUAUUGGUCAAUGGGCGCAAGCCUGAACCAGCCAUGCCGCGUGCAGGAAGACGGCCCUAUGGGUUGUAAACUGCUUUUGUACGGGAAUAAUAACCACGACGUGUCGUGGGACGAAGGUACCGUACGAAUAAGCAUCGGCUAACUCCGUGCCAGCAGCCGCGGUAAUACGGAGGAUGCAGGCGUUAUCCGGAUUUAUUAGGUUUAAAGGGUGCGCAGGCGGCCCGGUAAGUCAGUGGUGAAAGUUUGCAGCUUAACUGUAAAAUUGCCAUUGAUACUGUCGGGCUUGAAUGUGGUAGAGGUAGGCGGAAUGUGUAGUGUAGCGGUGAAAUGCUUAGAUAUUACACAGAACACCGAUUGCGAAGGCAGCUUACUAUGCCAUGAUUGACGCUGAGGCACGAAAGCGUGGGGAGCGAACAGGAUUAGAUACCCUGGUAGUCCACGCCGUAAACGAUGAUUACUGGUUGUGUGCGAUAUACAGUGCGCGACUGAGGGAAACCAUUAAGUAAUCCACCUGGGGAGUACGGUCGCAAGACUGAAACUCAAAGGAAUUGACGGGGGCCCGCACAAGCGGAGGAACAUGUGGUUUAAUUCGAUGAUACGCGAGGAACCUU